AUAGUCCUACGGGACGCAGCAGUGGGGAAUAUUGCACAAUGGGGGAAACCCUGAUGCAGCGACGCCGCGUGAGUGAAGAAGUAUUUCGGUACGUAAAGCUCUAUCAGCAGGGAAGAAAAUGACGGUACCUGACCAAGAAGCCCCGGCUAACUACGUGCCAGCAGCCGCGGUACUACGUAGGGGGCAAGCGUUAUCCGGAUUUACUGGGUGUAAAGGGAGCGUAGACGUCAGCGCAAGUCUGGGGUGA
rnacentral:rRNA from 1 species